GCAGAAGAGCUGCUUCAGACCAAGCCUGAGCCCAAAUGUGUUGCCUAUUCAUAUCCCACAACUGCGGAAAUCCCCUCCUGACUGUCCCAAAGUCAUGAUGCCACCUCUCAUGAUGGAAAAGGUAACUCAGCAGUGAGUUACCUGAGUCACUCCUUCUGUGAUGGAGCUGUAACAAGCACUCUGCUGGAGCAUCCCCUCCCUGGGUAACUUCGUGCACGUCAGUAAAUCGAGUCCUGCAGGCUUGUGCAGGGCUGCACAGGCUGAAGUCCACAACAGUUCUCACAUGCUUAAAGACAUGCCUCAGUAUUUCCAGGACUGGAGCCUGACUUCUCCCACUGGGGAAUUGUGCUCUUCCUGAGGCUUUUGCCCCAGUGGGCUUGUGGAAAUUUGUCUCUUUAAGUCUUGCAGAGCUGAACUGCUCCAGUCUUCCUGUAGACAUUUUGCAAGUGCUGACUGCUGGGUGCCUGUUCUGGUUUGUCCCUGUCCUGCUUUUCCACAUGCCUCUCCUUCCACCUCUGCAGCUCACACAUGUGAUGAUCCAAAAAGCCUCACCCAGAGAAUUUACAGGAACAUGUUACUGAUGUGUGGGAUUGCUUUGCUCUCUGGUCGAGAUCUGCAGGUUUUUCUUCACUUGGGGCCUGAUCCAGAUUCCACCAGAGAAG